UUGAGCCUACGGGGGGCAGCAGUGAGGAAUAUUGGUCAAUGGCCGCAGGGCUGAACCAGCCAAGUCGCGUGAGGGAUGACGGUCCUAUGGAUUGUAAACCUCUUUAGGCGGGGAGCAAUGCCGGGCACGUGUGCCCGGAGGGAGAGUACCCGCAGAAUAAGCAUCGGCUAACUCCGUGCCAGCAGCCGCGGUAAUACGGAGGAUGCGAGCGUUAUCCGGAUUUAUUGGGUUUAAAGGGUGCGCAGGCGGUCUGUUAAGUCAGCGGUCAAAGCCCGGGGCUCAACCCCGGCC
rnacentral:rRNA from 1 species